rnacentral:rRNA from 1 species
GACGAACGCUGGCGGCGUGCGUAGCACAUGCAAGUCGAACGGUAAAGCCCGUCGGGGUACACGAGUGGCGAACGGGUGGGUAACACGUGGGUGAUAUGCCCUGCACUUCGGGCUAAGCAUGGGAAACUGGGUCUAAUACCGGAUAGGACCACUGCCUGCAUGGGGGGUGGUGGAAAGCUGUUGCGGUGUGGGAUGAGCACGCGGCCUAUCAGCUUGUUGGUGGGGUGAUGGCCGACCAAGGCGACGACGGGUAGCCGGCCUGAGAGGGUGACCGGCCACACUGGGACUGAGAUACGGCCCAGACUCCUACGGGAGGCAGCAGUGGGGAAUAUUGCACAAUGGGCGCAAGCCUGAUGCAGCGACGCCGCGUGAGGGAUGACGGCCUUCGGGUUGUAAACCUCUUUCAGCACCGACGGAGCGCAAGUGACGGUAGGUGCAGAAGAAGGACCGGCCAACUACGUGCCAGCCGCCGCAGUAA